rnacentral:rRNA from 1 species
AACGUAGGAGACAAACGUUAUCCGGAGUUACUGGGCGUAAAGGGCGUGUAGGUGGUUUUGUAAGUCUGGCGUGAAAUUUUUCGGCUUAACCGGGAAAGGUCGUCGGAUACUGCAAGGCUAGAGGACGGUAGAGGCGUGUGGAAUUCCGGGUGUAGUGGUGAAAUGCGUAGAUAUUCGGAAGAACACCAGUGGCGAAGGCGGCCAACUGGUCCGGUACUGACGCUGAGGUGCGAAAGCGUGGGGAGCAAACAGG